rnacentral:rRNA from 1 species
GACGAACGCUGGCGGCGUGCUUAACACAUGCAAGUCGAACGGAAAGGCCCUGCUUGCAGGGUACUCGAGUUGCGAACGGGUGAGUAACACGUGGGUGAUCUGCCCUCCACUUCGGGAUAAGCCACGGAAACUAGGUCUAAUACCUGAUAGGAGACAUUUUGAGUGUGAUGGUUGGAAAGUUUUUUCGGUGUAGGAUGAGCUCGCGGCCUAUCAGCUUGUUGGUGGGGUAAUGGCCUACCAAGGCGGCGACGGGUAGCCGGCCUGGGAGGGUGGACGGCGACAUUGGGACUGAGAGAAGGCCCAGACUCCUACGGGAGGCAGAAGUGGGGAAUAUUGCACAAUGGGCGCAAGCCUGAUGCAGAGAGGCCGCGUGGCGGAUGACGGUCUUAGGGUUGUAAACCCAGUUCGCUAGGGACGAAGCUUUUUGUGACGGUACCUAGAUAAGAAGCACCGGCUAACUACGUG